GGGGGCGACCGGCUUCGACGUGGGUUGCGAAACUUCAGGUGCAUGCCGAGGUGUAAGUGCCUCGUAAAACUGCUUACAAACUUAUAGUUGCCAACGAAGACAACUACGCUCUGGCGGCUUAAUCCCGCCUAACCCUCGCCUGGCAUGUGCUUGUGCAUCCAGAAUCGGGGGACGCGCUCACAAGCUCGCAAGUCCGGUGGGCUCCAGGCCGGCUUGUUAAAACGUUCUGUAGCUGGCUGCACGUCUUCCCUGCCCUUCGGGUAGCGGGCAGCGAGACUCAAAGAAUGGGCUAAGCAUGUAGUGUCCUGUUGCGUAGCGCUUGCGGACGCGGGUUCGAUUCCCGCCGCCUCCACCA
rnacentral:tmRNA from 1 species